rfam:Fibulorhizoctonia sp. CBS 109695 unplaced genomic scaffold FIBSPscaffold_168, whole genome shotgun sequence.
ACACCGAUGGUGAAGCGGUUAUCAUGCUUGCCUUCCAAGCAAGCGGCAGGGGUUCGACUCCCCUUCGGUGUA